UACGUAGGGUGCGAGCGUUAAUCGGAAUUACUGGGCGUAGAGCGUGCGCAGGCGGUCUGUUAAGACAGAUGUGAAAUCCCCGGGCUUAACCUGGGAACUGCAUUUGUGACUGGCAGGCUAGAGUAUGGCAGAGGGGGGUAGAAUUCCACGUGUAGCAGUGAAAUGCGUAGAGAUGUGGAGGAAUACCGAUGGCGAAGGCAGCCCCCUGGGCCAAUACUGACGCUCAUGCACGAAAGCGUGGGGAGCAAGCAGG
rnacentral:rRNA from 1 species